ACAAAAUAUAGGACCAAGAUAAGCAAGCUCCCUUGCUCUGAACAAGGAUUGAGGAAGGAAAUGGUAGGAGAAAUUCAUAAUGUAGAAAUGCAUUAGCUGCUUCUCACUGCUUAUAGCAAAGUCCCACAAAAGAGAUGGACAUGGGUGACUGCUGGCCAGGGCGGGUGUGGCAUGAAAGAGAGAGCUGGCUGGAAACAAAUAGAUCAGAAAUCUUUACGUUUCUGAAAAAAUGCUUUGCCAAAGAAGCCACAGCAUGGUCUGAAAAAGCCUGCGAUUGUUCAACCCCAAAGCAAUCCCUGAAAACAAGGAGCAAGCUGUGAAAACCAUGCAGGUCCCAGGAAGGGCAUCCCCUCCGGUACCCACGCCGGUCAGCUGUGGCAGGGGAGACAACAGCAAGCAUGCAGAACCCCCUAGGAUUCUGUGGCACAAUGAAUUCACAUGCCUGGAGAGGCGGUGUUACCAGGAUGCUUGUGUCAACCAAGAUGGUGCUGUGUCUGGCCAUCAGGAGGAUCCACACAUAGAUCUGAACCCAUGAAGGAGGCCUUCACCAGGGAAAGAAUGAAAAAUGUCAACAUUUGGAAGAUCUUCGUUGCUCCGAGAGCUGAGUUUCCUACUGAUUAAGACAUCACGGUCCAAAAUCAUGCACAGGGAAAAGCAUGUUUCAUGGGAGGUUUCUACUGGCCCAGGAAGUGGUGAGUAGAGUCAUUAACUGAGAAUAAAGAAGCAGUAGUUCACAACGUUCUAAAAAGAGACAGCAACAGUUAGGACCAGACACCUCAGCGUUCCCCCAAAUGGCAGGACUGACCCUGUGGCCCACAACCUGCACCACAGCCCAGUCUCCUGGUCCCAGCCCACCCACUGGUGAGGAGUCCAGGGCGGCGGGUGUCAGCUGGCUUCCUUGGACCUCAUUUGCAGUGAGAGCUGAUCCCACCUUCCCUGCUGCAGUUGGAUGGGAUGCUUUCUUUCCACUUCAGGAAAUCGGUGAGUUGGAUUUUUCCUGUGAAUGGGACGGGAGCCUCCUGAGGAUCACUGGUCGAGCACGAGGGUCGCUGCAAGCCGAGGCCCUGGCGUCCCAGCCUGGCUUAGACUUCUGCUCGGACAGUGGCUGGCUGGCCGAGCCCUGUGCCCAGCUGAGUUGAAGGGCCUUGUGGUGGCCAGCAGGACUCAGAGAAGGAUAACGGAAAAGUGCCCAUCACUUCCUCCGUUGAGUGUGGCGAGGAAACCGAAUUUCUCCUGUUGCUCAAGUCAACAUCAAAGAAGGGAAAUGGUCGGGUAUGAGCCUUCUUCCUGCCCCCGCAGUGGGAUGCUGCUGGUCGGGAGGGGGGGAUACCUCAUAUGCAUAGAGGAGUCCAGAGUCAGACAUUUGGACGCCUUCUCCACGGAGGUGAGACAACCUAAGCGACCACCUGGAGACAGAAGAAGGAGGGAAGGAAGGUGUCCCAGUGGGACCCACAGCCAUGCCCUCCUGUGCUGGUGGGAGCUAGAGAGAAGAGGGGAGAGUCUGUUUCUUCAUAGUCAUGGGAAAAGCUUAACUUCUGAGAACAGUCUCCAAGAGACAAAACAGAAGACAACCCAAGGAAGGGCUGUGCUUCCAGAAAUGGGGAAGUGGUUCCCACAAGCCCAGCCCUGCCUUAUAGAAUGAUCACCUUUCAACAAAACAUAAAACAACAACUGCCUGGAGCCUCUGGAGAGAGACCAAAGGCGCAGAAACUAAAGGGAACCAGGUGCCCGGAAAAGGAUGGACAGACGGAGGAUGGACAGACGGGCCGAGAGCCAGGUGUUCAUGCAGGAUCUGGGUACUGAGCAUGUGGGUGUUCCCUGCACAGUUCUUUCAGAUUUUCUGUAUGUUCAAAAUUUUUUACAAUACAGUAUCGGUGACAAAAGUCACUGGAGUGAAUUUCACUCCAGCAGUUAAAAAAAAAAAAA